rnacentral:rRNA from 1 species
UACGGAGGGUGCAAGCGUUAAUCGGAAUUACUGGGCGUAAAGCGCACGCAGGUGGCUGAGUCAGUCGAUUGUGAAAGCCCCGGGCUCAACUUGGGAACUGCAUUUGAUACUGCCAGACUAGAGUACAGAAGAGGUGACUGGAAUUCCCAGUGUAGCGGUGAAAUGCGUAGAUAUUGGGAGGAACACCAGAUGCGAAGGCGGGUCACUGGGCUGAUACUGACGCUGAAGUGCGAAAGCCAGGGGAGCGAACGGG